ACAUUGUACACUGUAAAAUGUAAUAGCUGAGCUUACUAAAAAGAUUAAGUAAACUUAACUUAUUUAAUUAAGUUUGUUAACCUUACUUAGUUUAACUAAGUAAUCCCAACUUUUUUCUAUGCAAACUCAAGUCAACUUGAUUAAACUUAACAGAUUAAUUUAGCUCAACUUAAAAUUUCAAGUAUUUUCAAAAAGGAUGACUGCACAGUAGGUGGCAGUAAUGCUCCCAAGGAGUAAGUGGUGGCUUAACUGAGUGGUUAACUGAAGAAGACGACAACAGCACAUGGUCGGAUAAGAGCAUGAGGAGCAGGAGCUUGUUUCUUUGAAGAGAGCGCAUACCCUUCAUGGAAAGUCAGUAACGUUACUGUGGAGUACAACCAAGUCGCAAGCAAAAACCUCAAGCAAGAAUUGUUCUCAUCCCUUGCUAAACAUUGUUUUUGAAGAUUUUGAAUGAAAGAAAAGAAAUCUAAACAUCACUGAUGACAGUGCUCGGUGGACGGUAGUUCUCCGUGGUCUUGCUAUCCUUCUUGCGGAAGACACUACAGACUUCCUGAAAACAAACAUGGACUGUGAUGGUGACCCACCUCAACUAUCAAUAGGAAUUCUCAGUCUGGUGCCGGAGGACAGACACAUUUCUCCACAUGGUUUACAGCAAUUAUUUGGUAGGGUGUCACAGCCAUGGAUGGACUUGAGAAAGUAUCACAUGCCAUGUGUUUAGUUUUUGGACUGAUCGUUGUUUUAAAUAUGGAGUACCUCUUCACAGCUUAUUUUGAGUUGAUUCACAGGGUUUUUCUUUCCCUGGGGCACAAAUCACUAAAGUCAAAACUGCCAUCACUACAAAACAUACUAAUGUGAAGUAGUGUGUUUUGUGUGAAACAAGUCCGUGUUACUGUAGAUCUGUUGCAUUUUGGGGUUUUUAUUUUUUGUCAGCCUGGAUACAAGUUCCAGAAAAACUCAACUUGAAUUGCUGCAAAACUUUGAUGUUUUAGUUAAGAUGUAUUUUGUGUAUUUCUGAUGGCAGAAACAAGAUUGUUACUGUAGGUCUGUUGAUGCAAUUUGUGAUUUUUUUAUCAGUCACAUGCCAACCUGGAUACAAAACCAAAACUGCAGUCACAAAAAAAACUAGUUUUGAAUUUGUUUGUCAAGGUGUGUUCAUUGUGUUUGUAAUAACAGAAACAAGACUGUCUUAGGUCUAUUGUUGCAUUUUGGGUAUCCAGAUUGAUGGGUGACUGAACACAAACCCCUUUCUUGUUGUGUG